AGUAGGUUUAAUACUUGUCUAUAAAGAUUUUCUAUGAAAGGCUUAGCUAAGAAUUCCUUGAUCAAUUUGAACAUGAAAAAUAUUUAAUAAAAUAUAUAAAUAACUAAAUCUAAGCAAUUGUUAAGAAAAAUGAAAGUAGCUACUUGAAUUGAACUUCAAAAAACUUUCGACAGGAAGGCAAAUACAAAAUUAGGAAAUCCACCAAAUGCUGAUUACAA
rnacentral:lncRNA from 1 species